GUAGGUGGCAAGCGUUGUCCGGAAUUAUUGGGCGUAAAGCGCGCGCAGGCGGUCCUUUAAGUCUGAUGUGAAAGCCCACGGCUCAACCGUGGAGGGUCAUUGGAAACUGGGGGACUUGAGUACAGAAGAGGAAAGCGGAAUUCCAAGUGUAGCGGUGAAAUGCGUAGAGAUUUGGAGGAACACCAGUGGCGAAGGCGGCUUUCUGGUCUGUAACUGACGCUGAGGCGCGAAAGCGUGGGGAGCAAACAGGAUUAGAUACCCUGGUAGUCCACGCCGUAAACGAUGAGUGCUAAGUGUUAGGGGGUUUCCCGCCCCCCUUAGUGCUGCAGCUAACGCAUUAAGCACUCCGCCUGGAGAGUACGGCCGCAAGGCUG
rnacentral:rRNA from 1 species